rnacentral:lncRNA from 1 species
GAGAUAUGUUGGGAAGUUAGGGGUUUUUGUUGAGGUUUUAGGUCAAAUGGUAGGAAUCGAGUUCAUUUUUUAAACAAUGGAGAUGAUUAUUGGUGUUAAGUCAUUCUGGUUUGAAGUGUAUUAUACAGGCAUUAGCGGUAUCUGUUGUUUUAUGUGCUGGUGAUUUUGUUGGGGGGCUUUAGUUAGGUGGUUCGAUUAUUUUUGGUUCUGAAAUUUGCUGGAGGUUGUAUUAUGUGAUUCCUGAAUUGAGAAUUGAUGUUCUUCCACAGCUUAUGUGGGUGAUCUUAAGGUUUAGUUAUGUGUUUUUGCUAGUUUUGGAAGUAAUGUUUCGACAGAUAUUUACUUUGGAGCUGUUUAGUUGAACUCUUGUUUUCUGCUAUCUGUAUGAUCCAGCCAAUGCACAGUUCACACAUGUUGCUCUUAUGUCAUGGUAUCCAUGUGCGUCUCUUUUGUCCCACAAAUGCUAUUCUCCGGAUAAAUCGACAGAUGAAGCUGUAAUGUUCCUUAUUUGGCAUGGUGUUAUUGCUUAUAAGCUAUUCAAAAUGGCAGGUGUGAUACAACAGUCAAAUUUUCCUCAUUUUGGCAUCAAUAUAUGUGAGAAAAUGCAUUGAGAUUAAUAAUUUUGAGAUGCUCUCAGUCAAGUGCAUUAUUUAAUGUAAGUAAUAGUCUAGUUUUCCUUCCAUUACUGAUAUUACAUAGUCGUUGCAUUUCGAUUCUCUGUUGUGAUAUGCAAGUCAUAUCUCGUCAUUCUAUUUUUCCAUUUUGGAUGCCAAAAUGUGUGAGAAAACAAACUUGUUAUUCACAAAUGCUUUCUAGUCUCUAUCAAACAUAACAACAGAUAUUCCUAUGCUAUAGUAUUCUUAACUGCAUUAUUAAUUAAUCUGUUCUCACUGCCUAAUGGUUUUUAAUUACUGAUUGAUUUGCUGGACUUGGUUGGUUCAAAUGUCAUGUCAACAGUCUGUAAAAGGAAAAAAACAGUUGCCAUCCUUUUAACAGAGUUGUCCUAUAUUGAAGUGGGAUUAGAAGUUUAUUCACAAACCACAGAGGGUUGCUGCCUGAAAUCCCAACUCUAUUGGAACUGAAUUGGUAAUAACCUUAGUGAUAUUCAUCAAGAGCUAAAUUCUGGUUCCUGUUAGACCAAGAGCUAAAUUCUUGGCGUUGAAAGUUUGAUCACAUGAAAGCUGGAAGUUUCUUUGUGUCUAAGAUUUGGAGGAAUAACAUGUUUUUCUACAGGUUUUGAAUUGCUCAUAUGCCAAUGUAGUUGGUGCUAUCUAUGUUUGCUUCUUUCCUCUAUGUGGUUAGAGUAGAUCCAUUGGUGAUUAUUUAGCUAUCCCCUCAUAUUUAUAAUUCUUUCAAUCACUAUUAGUACUUCGAUCAUAAUUCUACAUACGUUAGUAGAGCCCUUACCGUUCUUUAUCUUUUACAUUUUGUUCGUAUAGUUCUCUCGCUGACAUGUGGUUUUUUGCUAUCUUUCCCCUCCUCUCCAGCCAAAACUUUUUCCUCUGACCUAGGAUGGUCACUACUUGAUGAUGAUUUUUUUUUUUUUUUGUAGUUGUUGCUGA